rnacentral:rRNA from 1 species
GACGAACCGUGCGAACGUUGUUCGGAAUCACUGGGCUUAAAGGGCGCGUAGGCGGGCUGUCAAGUCUGGGGUGAAAUGCUGCGGCUCAACCGUAGAACUGCCUUAGAUACUGACGGCCUCGAGGAAGGUAGGGGCAUGCGGAACUGUAGGUGGAGCGGUGAAAUGCGUUGAUAUCUACAGGAACUCCGGUGGCGAAAGCGGCGUGCUGG